CCGAGUUCUCGGGCUUCGGCUCGACUCUCCCACCCUUUGUGAACGUACCUCUGUUGCUUUGGCGGCUCCGGCCGCCAAAGGACCUCCAAACUCCAGUCAGUAAACGCAGACGUCUGAUAAACAAGUUAAUAAACUA
rnacentral:misc_RNA from 1 species